UUCAGAGGUGUGCUCUUCCGAUCUGGCGAUCUGGCUGCGACAUCUGUCACCCCAUUGAUCGCCAGGGUUGAUUCGGCUGAUCUGGCUGGCUAGGCGGGUGUCCCCUUCCUCCCUCACCGCUCCAUGUGUGUCCCUCCCGAAGCUGCGCGCUCGGUCGAAGAGGACGACCUUCCCCGAAUAGAGGAGGACCGGUCUUCGGUCAAGGGUAUACGAGUAGCUGCGCUCCCCUGCAAGAACCUCCAAA